rnacentral:miRNA from 1 species
UUUAAUGCAAGUAUAUCCCAUGCAAGAUUUGGGACAUACUUACACU